rnacentral:rRNA from 1 species
GACGAACGCUGGCGGCGUGCCUAAUGCAUGCAAGUCGAACGCACAGUUUAUACCGUAGCUUGCUACACCAUAGACUGUGAGUUGCGAACGGGUGAGUAACGCGUAGGUAACCUGCCUGGUAGCUGGGGAUAACUAUUGGAAACGCUAGCUAAUACCGCAUAAUAUUAAUUAUUGCAUGAUAAUUAAUUGAAAGGUGCAAUUGCACCACUACCAGAUGGACCUGCGUUGUAUUAGCUAGUAGGUGAGGUAACGGCUCACCUAGGCGACGAUACAUAGCCGACCUGAGAGGGUGAUCGGCCACACUGGGACGGAGACACGGCCCAGACGCCUACGGGAGGCAGCAGUAGGGAAUCUUCGGCAAUGGACGAAAGUCUGACCGAGCAACGCCGCGGGAGUGAAGAAGGGUGUCGGAUCGUAAAGCUCGGUUGUAAGAGAAGAACGGGUGUGAGAGUGGAAAGUUCACACUGUGACGGUAUCUGACCAGAAAGGGACGGCUAACUACGUG